GACGAACGCUGGCGGCGUGCUUAACACAUGCAAGUCGAACGGAAAGGCCCUGCUUUUGUGGGGCGCUCGAGUGGCGAACGGGUGAGUAACACGCGUGUAACCUGCCCUUGACUUUGGGAUAACUUCAGGGAACUGGGGCUAAUACCGGAUAGGAGCUCCUGCUGCAUGGUGGGGGUUGGAAAGAUUCGGCGGUUGGGGAUGGACUGGCGGCUUAUCAGCUUGUUGGUGGGGUAGUGGCUUACCAAGGCUUCGACGGAUAGCCCGCCUGAGAGGGUGAACGGCCACAAUGGGACUGAGAGACGGACCAGACUGCUACGGGAGGCAGCAGUGGGGAAUAUUGCGCAAUAGGCGGGAGCCUGAUGCAGCGACGCCGCGUGCGGGAUGACGGGCUUCGAGUUGUAAACAGAUGUCGCCUGUAACGAAGCGUGAGUGACGGUAAUGGGUAAAAAAGCACCGGCUAACUACGUG
rnacentral:rRNA from 1 species